rnacentral:lncRNA from 1 species
GUGGUGGUGGGAGCUACUUGUCAGCCACACCAAAUUGGAUGGUGGUGUCCUACUCUAGUCAUGGGGGGCAAUUUGCAGAGGACAGGUAACUGGAGCAGAUCCCUGGAAGAGUUAAACCCGAAGGAAGAAGCCUGCAUACCAGAGAAUGCCAACAAUCAACUGCCAGCCGAAACAUCUGAACAGCCAGGCCCAGAUACCAACAGACAAAGAGAAAUGGAGUACUCCAGUCACCUAACAGUCAGGAAGAAUAACAAAGACAAACUAGUGAAAGACGAUAAAACACUUAGGAAGAAACCAGGAAGAAACGCCUUUCAGUUGCCACCUGCCUGCGCAAGAAACUAUAAGAGAACUGUAAGACCAACAAUAUUUUUAUGUUCUCACAAGACAAAUAAUUCAAAAAAUAAAACCCACCAUAGCCAAAACAAAAAACGUUGGGAUAUGAAACCAUUCCAAGUGACCUCCUGUGGAUCGAGAAAAUGUGAAGCCUGGGUUAGAAACUUAGAACAAGCUACAGCAGUUUUAGAAUUAAAUGUGGAGAAAAGAAAAGACCUUUGAGAUCGCAUCUAGAGCCAACAAGUUGUGUGCCAGUUGGCAGUUGAAAUAAAACAUUCAAGAUGUGGGAAAAAAAUAAAUUAUAAUGGUAUAGAAAAGUAGAACUAAUAGGUUCUCCUCUAGGAUUCAUAACCUUACCUGCUAUUGCCCUUGUCUUCCCCCAAGAACUUGAAGAGGAGACUUUCAAUCCAUCAAUAAUCAUCCUGAAAUAAUCAUCAUGCUGCCGUGUUGUACCUGUGGUUUUACUGUAACACAGCAAUCAUCAUUGCAAUUUCAAGGUACAUUGUUUGGCAGAGGCAUUUACACCUUCAAGAAGAACUCUUCAUUCUCCUCUUUAAAGACUGAUGAAAGCUUGUUCUGGAAAACCUUCAAAAUCAGGAAAUAAAGCUUCGUAUGCCAUCC